rnacentral:rRNA from 1 species
CACGUAGGGCGCAAGCGUUGUCCGGAAUCAUUGGGCGUAAAGAGCGUGUAGGCGGCUUGGCAAGUCUGACGUGAAAGCCCGCGGCUCAACCGCGGAUUGUCGUUGGAAACUGCCUCGCUAGAGUCCGGAAGAGGAGAGCGGAAUUCCUGGUGUAGCGGUGGAAUGCGCAGAUAUCAGGAAGAACACCCGUGGCGAAGGCGGCUCUCUGGGACGGUACUGACGCUGAGACGCGAAAGCGUGGGGAGCGAACAGG